rnacentral:rRNA from 1 species
AGAGUUUGAUCCUGGCUCAGAACGAACGCUGGCGGCGUGCCUAAUACAUGCAAGUCGAACGAGAAAGUGUAGCAAUACAUUAGUAAAGUGGCAGACGGGUGAGUAAUACAUAGGUAAUCUCCCCUCAAGAUGGGAAUAACCUUCCGAAAGGAGGGCUAAUACCGAAUGAGACCACAGUGACUACGGUCACAGUGGCCAAAGGAUGACCUCUACUUGUAAGUUAUCGCUUGGGGAUGAGCUUAUGCACCAUCAGCUAGUUGGUAAGGUAACGGCUUACCAAGGCUUUGACGGUUAGCUGAUCUGAGAGGUUGAUCAGCCACACUGGAACUGAGACACGGUCCAGACUCCUACGGGAGGCAGCAGUAGGGAAUAUUGCGCAAUGGAGGAAACUCUGACGCAGCGACGCCGCGUGGGUGACGAAGGUCUUCGGAUCGUAAAGCCCUGUCGGAUGGGAAGAAAAACAUUAUGGCUAAUAUCCAUAGUGCUUGACGGUACCAUAAGAGGAAGCCCCGGCUAACUUCGUGCCAGCAGCCGCGGUAAUACGAAGGGGGCAAGCGUUGUUCGGAAUCAUUGGGCGUAAAGCGCGUGUAGGUGGUCUAUUAAGUCGGGUGUGAAAUCCCUGGGCUCAACCGAGGAAGUGCACUUGAAACUACCUAGCUAGAGGACGGCAGAGGAAGGUGGAAUUCCUAGUGUAGAGGUGAAAUUCGUAGAUAUUAGGAGGAAUACCGGUGGCGAAGGCGGCCUUCUGGGCCGUUCCUGACACUGAGACGCGAAAGCGUGGGGAGCAAACAGGAUUAGAUACCCUGGUAGUCCACGCUGUAAACGAUGGGUACUAGGUGUUGUGGGAAUUGACCCCCGCAGUGCCGAAGCUAACGCAUUAAGUACCCCGCCUGGGAAGUACGGCCGCAAGGUUAAAACUCAAAGGAAUUGACGG